AGAGAGGUCAAUUAGUCGCUCACCUUUCACUUUCCUGGUUUGAUCGGCUUCUUCUAAUUCAAGCAACCCUUCCCCCCCUCCUACCUCAAGCUCUCUCUACUCCCAUGGGCUCCAAUCCCCAACCAAGACUCCACAUUCGCACUUGAAUCUCGGGCUUUUUCGCCAUGGGCACUCUCCGGAUAUUAGGGUUGUUGAUCAAGCUGAGGUUUCUCUUCUGGUUGCUCUCUGCUGCUCUGCUGCUUUCUCCGCCGCCGGUGGCCGGCCUCCGACCGUUAAGGGAACGGGCUCGCUCCUGGGGCGAUGAGUGGCUUUUUGUGAGAAAAGAUGAAAGUGAAUUCGGACCAUUUUCCGCGUGGAAUAUAACAGGAACUUAUAGAGGGACUUGGAAGUUCCCUGAUUCUGCAAAUAGCUCAUCCAGAUUUCCGGAAUUCAGGAAAUCCAGUGGCAGUUCUGUUAUUGAAUUAGUUAGCACACAAACAAAAAUAACGGGCGUACAUUAUGUGCAGGGUGUGAUUAUCUUCCAUGAUGUGUUUGACAAUGAUCACAAUGUGGGGGGCGUCCAAAUCAGAGUGGAAGGUGUAUUUAUAUGGCCGUUUAGACAGCUUCGAAUGGUAGCUAAUAGUGGAAAAGAGGGAGACUCAAACCAAGAGGAAGAUUAUUUUAUGUCGAACCCAUAUCACAUGCUUGGAGCUUUCUCUUCCCAAGUCUUUCAAGAAUCUCCACGAGAUAAGCUAUGGAAGAAAAAACAUUCACCAAUUUAUGAAAUGGAGAAACACUGUAAUAUAGAAAUUGCUGGCCAAAUUUCACGUGUAUCAUCUGCCCAUAAUGAUGGAGAUCGUGAUCGUUACCAGAUAGAAGGUUUGAUGGAGAGUCCUGCAGUAGAUGAUGAUGGAGAUUGCUUCUCACCCUUGAUUUUAAAUGCUACUUCUAUUAACGUGGAGGUCUACUAUAGUAAAGCAGUUAACUAUACCUUGAUGGUCACCUUUAUCUCCUUCCUACAAGUUCUUCUCUUAAUUCGGCAAAUGGAACAUAGCAACACUCAGUCGGGGGCUGCCAAAGUUUCGAUUGUAAUGAUUGGCCAACAGGCUAUCAUGGAUGCUUAUCUCUGCCUUCUACACUUGACAGCAGGAAUACUGGUUGAAUCUUUGUUCAAUGCUUUUGCCACCGCUGCGUUUUUCAAAUUUGUUGUCUUCUCAAUAUUUGAGAUGAGAUAUCUUCUUGCCAUAUGGAAAGCAAGUAGGCCUACAAAUAGUGGAGAAGGGUGGGAGACGAUGAGGCGUGAGCUUUCAGUUUUAUACAGCCGUUUCUAUGGAAUUCUCCUGGGAGGUAUUCUGGUCAUGUACGAAUUCCAUAACUUCCUGAGACCUAUUCUCCUCCUUAUGUACUCCUUUUGGAUACCUCAAAUAAUCACCAAUGUUAUCCGUGAUUCAAGAAAACCCUUGCACCCUCAUUACAUCUUAGGCAUAACUGUUACUCGGCUAGCGAUCCCGUUAUACAUAUUUGGGUGCCCUGACAACUUCAUGCGAAUUGAGCCUGACAAGAUUUGGUGUAUAUGUUUGAGUUUAUUUCUUGGACUGCAAGCAUCAAUUCUUCUUCUCCAGCAUUAUCUAGGCUCUCGGUGGUUCAUUCCGCGUCAGAUUCUACCCGAAAAAUAUAGCUACCAUAGAAGGUCUGAUCAGGAUACAAAUCACACCACAGACUGUGUCAUUUGCAUGACUGGAAUUGAUCUCACACAGCGUUCAGAUGAUUGCAUGGUGACACCGUGUGAUCAUUUCUUUCAUUCGGGUUGUUUACAAAGGUGGAUGGAUAUAAAGAUGGAGUGUCCAACUUGUCGGCGUCCACUGCCCCCUGCCUGAACUGUCUAUAUCACGUAUAGGAUCAACUGAUAUCACCCAACUGACUAAUUUUGAGUAUCAGCUUCCCACUUAUACUUAUAAUCCUGAAUCGCCUCUAUACUUCAUUUUAGGUUGGGUAUUCAAUCCAUUUUCUGCUUGAGUGCACCUUCGGGAAAAGGUUGAGAUACAACAGAAUCAAUUUCUGAACUCAACAGUCUGCAAUAGUUUGCCGCUCUUGACCAUGAUUAUUUUCAUUUUUGUAUGUUGUAUAAUUAGUUAGCAAUCCAAACAUCCAGUGGGUCGUUCAGAAGAUGGAUAAAAGAAACAAGAAAAGAAAGUGGCAAGGGUGUUCAGUAGUAAUUUAGUGUUGUAUCACCACUGUGAUUAGACCGAACUGUUCUGACUGUAAAACUGUAUCUCAUGAUGUAGGCGUUUUGAAGUAAUUCAAAAAGGAAAAAUGAGAAGUUGCACAUAUGAGGCCAGGACUUGCCCAGUUUCAUACUAUGCGUCUAUUUUAAUGUUUGCUC